rnacentral:misc_RNA from 1 species
CACGAAGAGGCCUCCAUCGGUCUUUCAACCUUGCCUAUCGUACCCUUUUUGUUGUUCCCUCGGCGGGGUAAAGCCCGCCGGCGGGAAGCUCGAAAAACCCUUUGCAAUCAGCAUCCAAAGACUCUGAUUACAAAACCUUAAAUCGUUA